rnacentral:lncRNA from 1 species
ACCAAUCAAGAUCUUCCAGAAAUGGAAAUUCUCUUAAUGACAUUCCAAGUUCCAACUCUAUAAGAUUAGUAAUAACAUUUAUAACUCAUGAAUACAUUUAAUUCAAUGAUGCUUCGCUACAAUCAAACACCAUUUGCAAUGUACUUGGGUUGACCGGGUCGAGGAAUUGGAUGGAAGAGCGCCUUUCGUAUCCCACUAGCGAGAGCAGGAUAAAGAUACUCCAUCCUUGGGCUAAUACAAUAGGGAAAAUUGAGCAGUUCAUGUCGUUGAUCUGAGCCGCUAACUCUGCUUUCCAUUCGAUUCCGAUUCCCGCUCCAUUCUCUCAUGUUGUUCAUCUUGUUCAGACCACAUAAAGGUUCUGUGUUUAAUUGCAUAUUUGCAUCUCGGCUUCUGGUUCUGUUUGCAAUAAACAGAACAAAAUAUUAGGUUGACUCAUUAUAACUUCAGUAUAGACAAGAUUGUAAGUCAUGUAAUCUUGUGCUUUCAGAAACCGAAAUUUAGACAUGGCCAAGCAUGUUGUCGCUGCUGUGCUGCAAAGGGUAGGCGCAACCAACAUGUAUGAGGCCACCAAAUAAUUCUUUUGUGUUAUGAAUGAACUCCAAAAGGACCAAUCAUACUAAAAUAUCAUGGUAGUUUUUAACAGAAUGUAUUCCUCUCUAACUGAAUUAAAUGAAUAUAUAAUUGAAUGGAUGUCACGUGCCACCUUCAACCUUCAAAGGAACGAUUAUCCUGUAUAAUGUUUCGUCCCAUUCAAUCUUGUACAAUUAAUCUAGUUUCACAAGAAGACUUUGGGCUUUCCUUUGGCAAUGUUCUGAAUCUGGUUCUUCAACAUGUGUAAGACAAAUCUGAACAUAUAUGAAAAUCAAGAUCCAACAAAUACGCUGGCAAAAGUAUCUGCAAAACUCUGGACUACAAAAUAUUAAGUUUCAUCUUGCUGUCUGGACAUGAAGUAAGAACAUGAAUCAAUUUACCUGGUGAGGAUGUGGCUAUUCUCAUAGGAAAGGAAUUGUUAUGAUUACUACGAAAAAUCUCCUCAUGCACCAAACCACCUGAUGAAAUUAGAAUGAAACGACAUUCCAAAUUACAAACCUUACCUACAAAGAAUGGGCGAGCAACUCUACCCCGUUUGUCUAUUAUGCUAAUCUUUUGUCAGGCGAUACAUUUAGGUCCAUCAAUUAAAAUGAGCAGAACAGUCCAGCCCAAUUUUCCUUCAAUCUGAACCCCACGACGUGCAAAGGCAGCUCCUAUUCAAGGGCCAGUAAACAGAGUGCAUGUGUGCUCCUAGACUCACAAUACCAAUGAAACUCGAUUGACCAUGUUUUAUUGGUUUGGUAGCAAUGCCAACACGCUACAGCAAAUCUAGAGCCAACGAAAAUUCAACCCCAUCCUUGGCUAACCUGAGGUACUAACGGAUUUCAGGGUUAGACCAAAGAGGGCCUACAGUCGCAUGGCACAGGCACAAAACCAAGGCUGCUCAUGGCAAUGUCGAAUUGCGGUGCAAAUUGGAGGGAAUGCAAACUCACUGUAGGGUCAUCAGCGGACACAGUUACUUAGCGGUGUGGUCGUAUUAAGUCCCACCAGGUAAUCCCCGUUGUCGCGGCCUCACCGAAGAUCACCCACGACGCACACUUGUGGAGGUGCUGGGGCACGAGCCCGUCCUCCGUGUGUGCUCUGCCCCGUCCCCGACGAAGGCCUCCAUGAGCCACUCGUCGUGCCCAACUUCUUGCCCGGCUCGAGGAGACCAGCUAGGUGCUCGUGCACGUGCUGCAUCUGGCCGGGUUGCGCCGAUGGGCUGAUGGCCUUGGAUUCCUCUGCGACCGACGCCAUCCAGCCGAGGAGUGGAUGGGCUCCGGUGGUCGAAGAUGGGGUGGGUGGCGGCGCUAGUUCGGGUAGGAGGGGAUUUGGGGUUGCAGUCAAGCAAAAUAGAACGACCGCGCUUACGUGACGAAGAUGGACGGUGACCCCUGGGCCGACGCGUCAACCAUUACCUUAUAUAGGAUGGCGACGUGGAUCUGCGUCCCCGCACCUAUGGACGGGUCGGAGCUCUCCCGCCGAACCGCCGAUGAGGCUUGCGUAGAGGGCGCCGCCGGCCUCAGCUCCCGUCUUGAGUAGAUCCCUCCUCCUUCCCUCGUGCACCGAACCAGGAGGGGAGCACCGCGCCCCAUCUCCUCUUCAUCCUCCCGCCCGAGGUGCAG